rnacentral:rRNA from 1 species
AUUGAACGCUGGCGGCAUGCCUUACACAUGCAAGUCGAACGGCAGCACGGGUGCUUGCACCUGGUGGCGAGUGGCGCACGGGGGUGUAAUACAUCGGAACAUGUCCUGUAGUGGGGGAUAGCCCGGCGAAAGCCGCAUUAAUACCGCAUACGAUUUACGGAAGAAAGCGGGGGACCUUCGGGCCUCGCGCUUUGGGGUUGGCCGGUGGCGGAUUAGCUAGUUGGUGGGGUAAAGGCAUACCAAGGCGACGAUCAGUAGCUGGUCUGAGAGGACGACCAGCCACACUGGGACUGAGACACGGCCCAGACUCCUACGGGAGGCAGCAGUGGGGAAUUUUGGACAAUGGGCGAAAGCCUGAUCCAGCAAUGCCGCGUGUGUGAAGAAGGCCUUCGGGUUGUAAAGCACUUUUGUCCGGAAAGAAAUCCUUGGCCCUAAUACGGUCGGGGGAUGACGGUACCGGAAGAAUAAGCACCGGCUAACUACGUG